AGUGAACGCUGGCGGUAGGCCUAACACAUGCAAGUCGAACGGCAGCACAGUAAGAGCUUGCUCUUACGGGUGGCGAGUGGCGGACGGGUGAGGAAUACAUCGGAAUCUACUUUUUCGUGGGGGAUAACGUAGGGAAACUUACGCUAAUACCGCAUACGACCUACGGGUGAAAGCAGGGGAUCUUCGGACCUUGCGCGAUUGAAUGAGCCGAUGUCGGAUUAGCUAGUUGGCGGGGUAAAGGCCCACCAGGGCGACGAUCCGUAGCUGGUCUGAGAGGAUGAUCAGCCACUCUGGAACUGAGACACGGUCCAGACUCCUACGGGAGGCAGCAGUGGGGAAUAUUGGACAAUGGGCGCAAGCCUGAUCCAGCCAUACCGCGUGGGUGAAGAAGGCCUUCGGGUUGUAAAGCCCUUUUGUUGGGAAAGAAAAGCAGCAGGUUAAUACCCCGCUGUUCUGACGGUACCCAAAGAAUAAGCACCGGCUAACUUCGUG
rnacentral:rRNA from 1 species